GUGAAGUUAAGAGGCAGCCUUAUAGAUGAGUUUGGUCGAUGGAUUGAUGGUAAAGGGAGCGAUUGUAAUGGGGCGUGCUGUGCCUGCACCAUUCUGGAAUUUUCUGAGUUAAACGAUCUCCUUGGUCAGGUUUUUUUUUUUUUCUUCUGUUGUUCUGUCUUUUCCAAAUUCGCUGUGUAUACUGGAUCUGUCCUGGCCUUCCAGUGGUUCUGAGGAGGGUUUGGACUGGCGAGCCUCCCUUGAGUUUGUUCUUGGAUCUUUCUGUUGAAGAAGUAUUCGCACUGAUUGAACUGCGAAUGGUAGGAAAAGGACUAACUUUCCUCAUCUUUUAUUUUUUUUUCCGGAUGGAGACCUUUUUCAUUACCAACAGAUAAAGGACAAUUAUUUUUUUUUUAUUUAUUUUUUUUUCUAAAAACUUUUCAAAGCACUCUUUCACAAGGACUGCAAUUCUGAUUGGAUUUCAUCAAAAAAAAAAAGAAACAUUUGUUGUGCAAUUGGGUUGUAUGUUGUUUAUUUAGGAUUUACCCUAUUGAAACCCAAAGGGAAAAAAAUUGAGACCUAAAGUGUUGAGAUCUUACAGUCUGGUUGAAAAGGAAAUACAUAUCUACAUUUUGUUUCAUUUCAUUUUAUUUGUUAUCAACCAAUGUAAUUCACCUGUUGUCAUUCACCUGAAAAUACAGUGUGUGUUCAAAAGAGUAUUCACUGUUGUUGUGGCAUCUUUCUCAGCAGCGAAUCUGUUUCUUCUGAAACGCUGGUCCAUAGAUUUCAUUAGGUUAAUAGCCAAAGAGUAAGCGCUACAAAAGUUGGCGAGCCAGCCAGGAGAUUGAUUGCCUUACAACAACAGUGACUUCUCAGUACGACAAAACAAAUUGAAUUCUUACUGAGAAACAAGAUAUCCAAGUGUUAACAA